UACGGGGGGGGCAAGCGUUGUUCGGAAUUACUGGGCGUAAAGGGCGCGUAGGCGGCCUGCUAAGUCGAACGUGAAAUCCCUGGGCUCAACCCAGGAACUGCGUCCGAUACUGGUUGGCUUGAAUCCGGGAGAGGGAUGUGGAAUUCCAGGUGUAGCGGUGAAAUGCGUAGAUAUGCGGAGGAACACCGAUGGCGAAGGCAAUCCCCUGGGCCUGCACUGACGCUCAUGCACGAAAGCGUGGGGAGCAAGCAGG
rnacentral:rRNA from 1 species